UAUAUUGAAUUGAGGAGUAUUCACAGACUAUGUUCAGUGCAAAAUUGUUACCAAAUAUAGCUUUAUUUUGUAUAUUUUCGUUCUAGUAAAAUAAUGAAUUUGGGUGCUAGUGAUGGCUUAUAAUAUCGACAUUAGCAAAAUGUUCGAUGAAGACGUGCGUCUCCCAAGGCUGUGUCAUUAAUCUUAAGAAUAGUUGCUUUGGUUACCAAGAAGUGAAAAUAGAAAAGGAAAAUGGUUAGAAGCAAUUGAAACUGAAAAUAUCAAGCCAAAUGUAAAGGAUAUAUCAUAAUGUUCCCUACAUUUCCCCGAAAGUGCUUUCAAUAGAACAAUGGAUGUGAUUAGUCUGCACGAUGAUGCUAUACCAGUAUGUUUGCCGCUGCAUUCACACAGGGUACCGGUUGAGCCUCAAAUCCCGAACUCAAAAAUGAACAGAGUGAAUCCGAGUGCAUCACAGGCUGCACGAAAUAGUUUAGUUCUAUAAUUUUCUCUGUUAUUAAGUAAUUAUUGUUUUUUUUUUCUAUUACCUACUGUAUAUUGUGUUGUUCAUCGUAAUAAAAAACUAUUAUAUACCUA